rnacentral:lncRNA from 1 species
GGGAUUCAUGACAAAAUUGUGUUUUGGUGAUGGUGAGGUGUUUGUAGAUCUAACUUUACUAAACAUUCUUGCUGCUUACAAUUUUCUCUAUCUAUAACAGUACUUUCUGUGGAAAAUGUUAUUGAAAAUCUUCAAAUUUUAAGAAAAUUGUUAAAAAUUGACUAUGAAGGGAAAUAACUCCUUAGGGGGUCAAUUGACUAUUUUGGUCAUACUGAAUUAUUUUUAGUUCUCACUUUGCUGUACAUUAUUGCUGUUUACAAUUUAUCUCUAUCUACAAUAAUAUUCAAGAUAAUAACAAAAAAACAGCAAAAUUUCCUCAAAAUUACCAAUUCAGGGGCAGCAACCUAACAACCGAUUAUCCGAUUCAUCUAAAAAUUCCAGGGCAGAUAGAUCAUGACCUGAUCAACAAUUUUACUUCCUGUCAGAUUUGCUCUUAAUGCUUUGGUUUUUGAGUUAUAAGCCAAAAACUGCAUUUUACCCCCAUGUUCUAUUUUUAGCCAUGGCGGCCAUCUUGGUUUGUUGGCCGAGUUACCAGACACAUUUUUUUAACUAGAUACCCCAAUGAUGAUUAUGGCUAAGUUUGGUUAAAUUUGGCCCUGUAGUUUCAGAGGAGAAGAUUUUUCUAAAAGAUUACUAAGAUUUACGAAAAAUGGUUUAAAAUUGACUAUAAAGGGAAAUAACUCCUAAAGAGGUCAACUGACCAUUUUGGUCAUGUUGACUUAUUUGUAGAUCUUACUUUGCUGAACAUUAUUGCUGUUUACAGUUUAUCUCUAUCUAUAAUAAUAUUCAAGAUAAUAACCAAAAACAGCAAAAUUUCCUUAAAAUUACCAUUUCAGGGGCAGCAACCCAACAACAAAAUGUGCGAUUCAUCUGAAAAUUUCAGGGCAGAUAGAUCUUGACCUGAUGAACAAUAUUACUCCGUCAGAUUUGCUCUAAAUGCUUUGGUUUUUGAGUUGUAAGCCAAAAACUGCAUUUUACCCCUAUGUUCUAUUUUUAGCCAUGG